rnacentral:rRNA from 1 species
CCGAGGCCAACACAGUGGAUUCACCCCCAGGAGGCAAUGUGCAAGAUCAACAUAGAUGGUGCAGUUUCUAAGAACCGGAGAAGGGGAGCUGCAGCGGCAUUAUGCAGAGACCACGCUGGAAAUUUUCUGGGGGCUUCGGCGAUAAUUGUGAGGGGUGUUUAUGACCCACCGACACUAGAAGCCAUUGCUAUUCAGGAGGCUCUAGCCCUGGCCGAAGAUCUGAAUUUGCAGAGACUACACGUUGCAUCAGAUUGCAAAGUAGUGAUCGAGGACAUGAAGGAGCAAAACCCAGCUGUUUAUGGUGCAAUUCUACAUGAAAUAUCAGACCAUGCGACUCAUUUCGUAAAGUGCAAUUUUGUUCAUGAGUAUAGGAGCUCGUGUUGGAAAUAUGCCCUAGAGGCAAUAAUAAAUUAG